GUCUGGCUGGCUCAGUUGGUGGAGCAUGAAACUCUUGAUCCCAAGGUUGUGAGUUUGAAUCCCAUGCUGGGUG
rnacentral:tRNA from 1 species